rnacentral:rRNA from 1 species
CGAACCCUACGGGGGCAGCAGUGAGGAAUAUUGGUCAAUGGGCGGGAGCCUGAACCAGCCAAGUCGCGUGAGGGAAGACGGUCCUAUGGAUUGUAAACCUCUUUAGGCGGGGAGCAAUGCCAGGCACGUGUGCCCGGAGGGAGAGUACCCGCAGAAUAAGCAUCGGCUAACUCCGUGCCAGCAGCCGCGGUAAUACGGAGGAUGCGAGCGUUAUCCGGAUUUAUUGGGUUUAAAGGGUGCGUAGGCGGAUUUUUAAGUCAGCGGUAAAAUGUCCGGGCUCAACCCGGGCCGGCCGUUGAAACUGG